rnacentral:rRNA from 1 species
AGAUUGAACGCUGGCGGCAUGCCUUACACAUGCAAGUCGAACGGCAGCACGGGAGCAAUCCUGGUGGCGAGUGGCGAACGGGUGAGUAAUACAUCGGAACGUGCCCAAUCGUGGGGGAUAACGCAGCGAAAGCUGUGCUAAUACCGCAUAAGAUCUACGGAUGAAAGCAGGGGAUCGCAAGACCUUGCGCGAAUGGAGCGGCCGAUGGCAGAUUAGGUAGUUGGUGAGGUAAAGGCUCACCAAGCCUUCGAUCUGUAGCUGGUCUGAGAGGACGACCAGCCACACUGGGACUGAGACACGGCCCAGACUCCUACGGGAGGCAGCAGUGGGGAAUUUUGGACAAUGGGCGAAAGCCUGAUCCAGCCAUGCCGCGUGCAGGAUGAAGGCCUUCGGUUGUAAACGUGUCGUUUUGUAACGGAACGAAAGUCUUCUUUACUAAUAAGAGGAUACUAGUGACGGUACCGUAAGAAUAA